GAUGAACGCUGGCGGCGUGCCUAAUACAUGCAAGUCGAGCGAACAGACAAGGAGCUUGCUCCUUUGACGUUAGCGGCGGACGGGUGAGUAACACGUGGGUAACCUACCUAUAAGACUGGGAUAACUUCGGGAAACCGGAGCUAAUACCGGAUAAUAUUUCGAACCGCAUGGUUCGAUAGUGAAAGAUGGCUUUGCUAUCACUUAUAGAUGGACCUGCGCCGUAUUAGCUAGUUGGUAAGGUAACGGCUUACCAAGGCAACGAUACGUAGCCGACCUGAGAGGGUGAUCGGCCACACUGGAACUGAGACACGGUCCAGACUCCUACGGGAGGCAGCAGUAGGGAAUCUUCCGCAAUGGGCGAAAGCCUGACGGAGCAACGCCGCGUGAGUGAUGAAGGUCUUCGGAUCGUAAAACUCUGUUAUUAGGGAAGAACAAACGUGUAAGUAACUGUGCACGUCUUGACGGUACCUAAUCAGAAAGCCACGGCUAACUACGUGCCAGCAGCCGCGGUAAUACGUAGGUGGCAAGCGUUAUCCGGAAUUAUUGGGCGUAAAGCGCGCGUAGGCGGUCUUUUAAGUCUGAUGUGAAAGCCCACGGCUCAACCGUGGAGGGUCAUUGGAAACUGGAAAACUUGAGUGCAGAAGAGGAAAGUGGAAUUCCAUGUGUAGCGGUGAAAUGCGCAGAGAUAUGGAGGAACACCAGUGGCGAAGGCGACUUUCUGGUCUGUAACUGACGCUGAUGUGCGAAAGCGUGGGGAUCAAACAGGAUUAGAUACCCUGGUAGUCCACGCCGUAAACGAUGAGUGCUAAGUGUUAGGGGGUUUCCGCCCCUUAGUGCUGCAGCUAACGCAUUAAGCACUCCGCCUGGGGAGUACGACCGCAAGGUUGAAACUCAAAGGAAUUGACGGGGACCCGCACAAGCGGUGGAGCAUGUGGUUUAAUUCGAAGCAACGCGAAGAACCUUACCAAAUCUUGACAUCCUUUGACCCUUCUAGAGAUAGAAGUUUCCCCUUCGGGGGACAAAGUGACAGGUGGUGCAUGGUUGUCGUCAGCUCGUGUCGUGAGAUGUUGGGUCAAGUCCCGCAACGAGCGCAACCCUUAAGCUUAGUUGCCAUCAUUAAGUUGGGCACUCUAAGUUGACUGCCGGUGACAAACCGGAGGAAGGUGGGGAUGACGUCAAGUCAUCAUGCCCCUUAUGAUUUGGGCUACACACGUGCUACAAUGGACAAUACAAAGGGCAGCGAAACCGCGAGGUCAAGCAAAUCCCAUAAAGUUGUUCUCAGUUCGGAUUGUAGUCUGCAACUCGACUACAUGAAGCUGGAAUCGCUAGUAAUCGUGGAUCAGCAUGCUACGGUGAAUACGUUCCCGGGUCU
rnacentral:rRNA from 1 species